UACUUAGUGUAAGUAUGUCCCACGCAAUAUUUGGGACACAUACUUACACUAAAA
rnacentral:pre_miRNA from 1 species